rnacentral:rRNA from 1 species
GCGACAGAAAGAAGCACCGGCUAACUCCGUGCCAGCAGCCGCGGUAAUACGGAGGGUGCGAGCGUUAAUCGGAAUUACUGGGCGUAAAGCGCAUGCAGGUGGUUUGUUAAGUCAGAUGUGAAAGCCCGGGGCUCAACCUCGGAAUAGCAUUUGAAACUGGCAGACUAGAGUACUGUAGAGGGGGGUAGAAUUUCAGGUGUAGCGGUGAAAUGCGUAGAGAUCUGAAGGAAUACCGGUGGCGAAGGCGGCCCCCUGGACAGAUACUGACACUCAGAUGCGAAAGCGUGGGGAGCAAACAGGAUUAGAUACCCUGGUAGUCCACGCCGUAAACGAUGUCUACUUGGAGGUUGUGGCCUUGAGCCGUGGCUUUCGGAGCUAACGCGUUAAGUAGACCGCCUGGGGAGUACGGUCGCAAGAUUAAAACUCAAAUGAAUUGACGGGGGCCCGCACAAGCGGUGGAGCAUGUGGUUUAAUUCGAUGCAACGCGAAGAACCUUACCUACUCUUGACAUCCAGAGAACUUUCCAGAGAUGGAUUGGUGCCUUCGGGAACUCUGAGACAGGUGCUGCAUGGCUGUCGUCAGCUCGUGUUGUGAAAUGUUGGGUUAAGUCCCGCAACGAGCGCAACCCUUAUCCUUGUUUGCCAGCACUUCGGGUGGGAACUCCAGGGAGACUGCCGGUGAUAAACCGGAGGAAGGUGGGGACGACGUCAAGUCAUCAUGGCCCUUACGAGUAGGGCUACACACGUGCUACAAUGGCGCAUACAGAGGGCGGCCAACUUGCGAGAGUGAGCGAAUCCCAAAAAGUGCGUCGUAGUCCGGAUCGGAGUCUGCAACUCGACUCCGUGAAGUCGGAAUCGCUAGUAAUCGUGGAUCAGAAUGCCACGGUGAAUACGUUCCCGGGCCUUGUACACACCGCCCGUCACACCAUGGGAGUGGGCUGCAAAAGAAGUAGGUAGUUUA